rnacentral:rRNA from 1 species
GGGAACCUCACCUGGCCCGGACACCGCGAGGAUUGACAGACUGAGAGCUCUUUCUCGAUUCGGUGGGUGGUGGUGCAUGGCCGUUCUUAGUUGGUGGAGCGAUCCGUCUGGUUAAUUCCGAUAACGAACGAGACCCCAACCUGCUAACUAGCCCUCGGGUCCUGCUUCUGUUGGGCCCGACGGAAUGAUUCGCUUCUUAGAGGGACUCGCGGCGCCUAGCCGCACGAAGGGGGGCGAUAA